UCUCAUGGGUGAGCAAAGAAAGUGAUUUCUUGAGAUGAAAUCUUCUCCUGGUGAAGAUGCUGUGAA
rnacentral:pre_miRNA from 1 species